UUCCCUACGGGGGGCAGCAGUGAGGAAUAUUGGUCAAUGGGCGAGAGCCUGAACCAGCCAAGUCGCGUGAAGGAUGACGGCCCUACGGGUUGUAAACUUCCUUUGUCAGGGAGCAAUUGGGUCCACGCGUGGGCUUAGCGAGAGUACCUGAAGAAAAAGCAUCGGCUAACUCCGUGCCAGCAGCCGCGGUAAUACGGAGGAUGCGAGCGUUAUCCGGAUUUAUUGGGUUUAAAGGGUGCGUAGGCGGGUUAUCAAGUCAGCGGUAAAAUCGUGGAGCUCAACUCCAUCCAGCCGUUGAAACUGAU
rnacentral:rRNA from 1 species